rnacentral:rRNA from 1 species
GACGUAGGUGGCGAGCGUUAUCCGGAUUUACUGGGCGUAAAGCGCGUGCAGGUGGUUUGAUAAGUCGGGCGUGAAAUCUCCUGGCUCAACUAGGAGAGGCCGUCCGAUACUAUCAGACUUGAGGGCAGCAGAGGGAGGUGGAAUUCCGGGUGUAGUGGUGAAAUGCGUAGAUAUCCGGAGGAACACCGGUGGCGAAGGCGGCCUCCUGGACUGCCCCUGACACUCAGACGCGAAAGCUAGGGGAGCGAACGGG